rnacentral:lncRNA from 1 species
AUCCAGGACCCUACAGACUCUAUGGGGCCAUGUGGGGCCAUCCAGGACCCUACAGACUCUACGGGGCUCUACAAACUCUAUGAGGCAUUACAGGUGCUAUGGGACUCUACAGAUCCUAUGGGGUCCUACAGAGCCCUAUGGGACCCUACAGAUUCCUAUGGGGCACUACAGAGCCCUAUGGGGCCCUACAGAUCCUAUGGGGCACUACAGAGCUCUGUGGGGCACUACAGAUUCUAUGGGGCACUACAGAGCCCUAUGGGACCCUACAGAUUCCUAUGGGGCCUUACAGAGCCCUAUGGCACCCUACCGAUUCCUAUGGGCACUACAGAUCCUAUGGGGCACUACAGAUCCUAUGGGGCGCUACAGAGCCCUAUGGGGCCGCUAUGGUGUCUCUGUAGGGUAGCUAUGGGGUCUCCGUGGGGCAGCUAUGGGGCUACUAUGGAGCCACUAGGGGGUCUCUAUGGGGUCUCUGUGGGGCAGCUAUGGAGCCACUAGGGGGUCACUGUGGGGUCUCUGUGGGGCCGCUAUGGGGUCUCUGUGGGGCAGCUAUGGGGCCGCUAUGGGGCAGCUAUGGGGCUCACCCGAGGCGUUGGGGUGCAGGCGCUCGUCGUUCAGUGGGGCCAGGAAGUCGCUGCUGUUGAGGUACAGGUCCCGGUGGUGGGGGUCUGUGGGGGGGGGGGACCCCAAAUCAGCCCCACGGCGACGCCCCGCACCCCCACCAUGGGGUUUGGGGGUCCCAGGGGAGGGUUUGGGGGUCCCCCCCCCGGAUAUUUUGGG